ensembl:lncRNA
AGCCCCUUCCUCCUGUGAGUAAACCCAGGGAGAUCAGAAGAAAGCCAAGCAAACCUGCUGCCAGAGGCUGGAUAUUCUGCUUUGAUCAGUGGCUAUAAAAAGGACAAGGCAGACACCUCCCUCCUGAAACAACUGCUCAUGGACGAGAAUUCAGCAUUAUGUCUUUUUUGCUUAUUUCCCACCCUAUAAAAUGGCCUCAAGAUGAUUUUUAAAUGAACAUGAACAACUCUCCUAAAAAUAUUCUCAUAUUGUG